GGAGUCCGCGGUAGGAUUCCUUCCCUCGAUAGCCGGCAGCCUGCGUUCGGGGCAGAUAAGGAAGCCGGCGCACUGAUUUGUGGUUGUUGCGAUUGAGGCUGGAAUGCAACCGUUCGUCUUAUAGCUGGCCACUGUGAUGAAUCCCUCACGGGUGUACAGCGACCAACAGACUGUGUUCUAUGAGGUCUGUUAGUCCCUAACCUUAGGGACGUAGCGUCGGCCAGAUGGAAUCUUGCUGUGUCACCCGGGCUGGAGGGCAGUGGCGCAAUCUCGGCUCAAUGCAACCUCCGCCUCCUGGGUUCGGGUGAUUCUCCUGCUUCAGCCUCCCGAGUAGCUGAGACUACAGGCACAUGCCAUCACGCCCAGCUAAUUUUUUGUAUUUUUAGUAGACAUGGGGUUUCACCAUGUUAGCCAGGAUGGUCUUGAUCUCCUGACCUCAUGAUCCGCCCACCUCGGCCUCCCAGAGUGCUGGGAUUACAGCCUUUGAGAUCAAGGAGAGGAGCGAUCUCAUCCCUGGAAAAGCAAGUACUGAGACACAUUUGUUGAAUGAGGGGUCCCGUACGGAGCACCAGGCACGUACCCAGCCCUCAUUUGUUGAAUAAACGAGCAGUGCCCAGGAGCCCUGUGUGGGAAGGGGAUGAUGAAGAGAAGCGAUUUUCAGUGAAUGGGUUGACCGAAACAUAGCCACAGAGAUUUGCGCUUUUUCAACAAAUACAGAAAUCUCACAGGUUUGUCUUCUCAUGGAAUCUGCAUGGUGCCAGGAGCACUAAAAAUGACUCUCCAGACAAACAAAAGCAGGAAAAGCUGUCUGGACACAGUGGCUCACACCUGUAACCCAGCACUUUGGGAGGCUGAGGUGGGAAGGAUCUUUUGAGGCCCAAAGUUUGAGAGCAGCCAGGGCAACAUAGUGAGACCCUGUUUCUAUAACACAUUUUUUAAAACAAUCUAGACGUAGUGGUGCAUGCCUGUUGUCCCAGCUACUUGGGAGGCUGAGGUGGGAGGCUCACUUGAGCCUGGGAAGUUGAGGCUGCAGUGAGUUGUGAUCACGCCACUGCCCUCUAGCCUCAGAGACAAAGGAAGACCCUAUCUCCAGAAACAAAAGAAAAGAAAACCAAAAAACAAAAAGCAGAUCUUUACCACCCCACCUUAUUUGGGCCUACCUGCAGACCUGGGCGUGGGGCUGAAUGUUGGGAUCUCAAAGGAAUUUCAAAAAUCUGGCCCAGCCCCGGGGUAAUCUGACAACUAAAAACUCAUAAAGACAUAAAGAGAUCUUAAUGCUUACUGAGGCAGCACGGUCUUUCUUCGUCUGAGAAGGAGAGGUUAUGGUCCACAAACUGAAAGAAGUAUUCCAGGUCUGUUUGUGGUGGAGAGGGUUGGAGGAGGAUGCCUCCACUUGGGACUUACUGGGUCCUCCUUCCUGGCCAGGGAGGCAAAACAGACACAGAUUGGGCUGCAGAGCUGUAAGCCCUAAGCGGACUGGCAGGCGCUGUAAAAGAGAGCAGCGGGUUCAGUGGGUUGUGGGGUGGGCAGGGGGUAGAGAAAGGGGCCAGUCACACUCAGCUGCAGCCCUCGCGGCCUCGCGGGCCUGUGGUUGCCAGGACUUAAAUCUCCCAAGAGUCGUUACAAUCCUGACUUUUAUGUGAAAGCUCUCAUCUUGUAUUGGCAAGUAAAUCCAAGACAAUUUCAAUCACUGUGGGAGUCAAGCUAAUUACGUCUGCAGGCUGGAUUUGGUCUGUAAGCUGCCAGUGUGCCAUCUCUGGAUUAGUCACUGAAGAGUCAGGAAAGGUGAUGAACCAGCACCAGCCACCCCAGAUGGAGUCACGAUGUGGCGGUAGUGAGAGAACCAGGUGAGGGAACUGCGCCAGGUGCGGACGGGAGAGGCCUGACGUUCCUUCCCCAGGCUGCCCUGGGGAGAUGGCGGAGGCGGGGGUGCUGCUCCAGUGCUGUCUGCUGGAGGGAGGUGUUCCCUUCCCUGCAGGGCAGAGGCAACCUACACCUGGCUGGCUCUGGGUUUCCUUGUGAGUGAUCCUGUCUGUGGCAUGAGUACCACCUAGUGGACUUCGCAGGAAGAACUGUAUGUUGAAACCAUGCGGACAGUCAUUUACCAGAGCGGUGGCGUGAGCGCAGCAGAAGGGCCAGGGUCCUCCGAGCGAAUCAGCAUGAAAGAAACCGUAAUAAUGAGUAAACUCAAAGCUUGAAGCAUAAACUCAAAGCUUCAGGGGGACAAUGAGACAGAGGCAGGGGAGCUGGUCUUGCUUUCUCAGGCCGCCCAGUUCUGUUUGACUGAGCCUGUGGUCCGAGCGGAUGGAAUCCGCCCCUCCAGCACGGGGAGGCCCCCAGAGCCCAAAGACAAGGAGAGCCACCAGUCAUAUUGAAGCUUCCAGCCUUCUUUCUUUAAGCCUCAUGAGAAAUUAGGUGGGUGGUAAUCCCAAAUCAAUGUUUGUGGCUGUGCUUAUCCUGUUUCACAAGCCUAACAUCUGUGUUUAUAUUGUUUAAAAUCUAUUAAAUUGUGUGGAAUAUUUUCCCUUCAUUU